AUUCAAAAUAUGAAAGAAGUGACUUUUGUCAGUUUUCAUACGGAAGAUAAUUUCGUACUUUGGCUAGUGCCACAACAU